rnacentral:pre_miRNA from 9 species
UCUCGAUAGCGUAAAAGUUAACUCAGAUUUGUAUGGAGUUUAACGUUUGGCUACGUUUGCCGCUAGGGCCGCUGUUCUAACUGCAUACAAAUUCGAGUUAACUUUAACGCUAUCGA